rfam:Triticum aestivum genome assembly, contig: Triticum_aestivum_CS42_TGACv1_scaffold_501111_6BL
AUAGUACUCCCUCGUCCGGAAAUACUUGUCAUCAAAAUGAAUAAAAGAGGAUGUAUCUAGAUGUAUUUUAGUUCUAGAUACAUCCUUUUUUGUCCAUUUUGAUGACAAGUAUUAUUGGACGGAGGGAGUAACUC